rnacentral:rRNA from 1 species
GACGAACGCUGGCGGCGUGCCUAAUACAUGCAAGUCGAACGGAAAGGCCCUGCUUUUGUUCGGUGCACGAGUGGCGAACGGGUGAGUAACACGUGAGUAACCUGCCCUUGACUUUGGGAUAACUUUUGGAAACUGGGGCUAAUACCGGAUAGGAGCUCCUGCUGCAUGGUGUUGGUUGGAAAGUUGCGGCGGUUGGGGAUCGACUCGCGGCUUAUGAGCUUGUUGGUGAGGUAGUGGCUUACCAAGGCUUUGACGGGUAGCCGGCCUGAGAGGGUGACCGGCCCCAGUGGUCCUGAGGGACGCCCCAGACGCCAACGUGAGGCAUGGGUGGGAAACAUUGCGCAAUAGGCGGAAGCCUGAUGCAGCGGUGCCGCGUGCGGGAUGACUGCUUUCGGGGUAUAAACCGCUUUCGCCUGUAACGUACACUGAGUGACGGUAACUGAUCAGAAAGCACCGGCUAACUACGUG